rnacentral:tRNA from 1 species
AGUUAAUGAGCUUGAAUAAGCAUAUGUUUUGAAAACAUAAUAUAGAGACUAAAAUUUUCUAUUAACUU